rnacentral:lncRNA from 1 species
GUCCGCCCCCACGCGGCCGCCUGCACAGGGGGUUCCAGCCACCCGCGCUCUCCCAGGUUUGCCGACCUUACGGGCCCUUCUCCGCCAGCCCUGGCUGGGUCACCCCCACGACCCGGGACUCCCCCGCCGUUCCCUCCCGGGCUGCCUGCAGUGAGGUCCGCUCCUGAGGCCUCAGCCUCGCCGGGGGUAGGGCCCUCUCCCGCCGUCGCCGCAGCUCCUUUCCGUCCCGGGGCCUGGGGGGCACCGUCCCACGGGUGAGGGCCGCCUCCAGCGCCUGGCCCAGCCAUGCGAACGCCUGGAGCCCGCGAGCUGCAGCUGCGGCCCUGAAGGUGCCGCAUAUCCUGCCGAGUGGGUGAAGCGUGGCACUUUGGAAAACAAAUCGGGUCCUAGGAAUGAAGGAAAACAGGCAAUAAGGCAAGAAUCGCUGUCGAAGGAGUCUGCGCCACCUGCUCGCACAGCUCACUUGUGCCUUCUGAGCCUGCUGGAGCCCAGUGUACAUAUGCCGUCUCCGCGUGAUUAGAGAUUGCUGCUGCACGUGCCCAAUCCCGUGGCGGGGCUGGAACACAAACGGGGUGGUGUUCCAGCUGCAACCAUGCAGAUGAAGACUAUACCCUAGGAGAUGGAGGAACAACAGACAAGAAAGAAACCUGGGUUCCUGAAUAACCACGUGGAGCCAAGCAGCUUACUUAUCUCAAGCCACUGUUGCCCACCUCCAGAUUGAACUGUCUGCAAACAAAUCUUUACUUGAUGAGAAGUUUAAAUAUAAUUAAAUCUAGAAUAUUACAUGA